CCUGCGCAGUGGAACUUGUAUCGGGGCACUAAGACAAGAAAUAUCGCGGCCAGCCAGGGAUAUUCGCCGCGGUUGAUUUUCUCACCCCCCGCGAUCAAGAAAUUAAAACCCGAAGCGUUGAAGCGGCCGCAUUCCUGUUGAGUAACGAAGUCCACCACGUGUGGAACAGGUUGAAUCGUCGGAUCUGGUCUGGGCGUUGGUAUUGACCAAGACGUCGGGGUCGGUUGAGGAACUGGACUCGGUCGAGGAACUGGGCUCGGUCGAGGCGGUGGAAAAGGUAUAACUGGAUCCGUAUCUGGCGUAAGGAUUUGCGACGGCGAGUCAGCUACAUUCGGAAAGCCUGGACCGAUGUUCUUGUCGUCAACGUUCAGGAGCGGGACACCCGGUGGAUAGAGGGUGUGAUUCAGAACGAUGGAUGUCACUAACUGUCCGGUUGCUGAAAUGAGAAAGGUGAAGAAGUGUUUACGUACCGUGUCGACCAAUACAAAUCUGAGCGCCGUUGAACCAAAUCUCAUUUAAAUUUGGUAGUGGAUCCGGAAGAGGAAAACGAACAUUGUACAUCAGGGGCCUGCCCUGUUCAACGGCUUUAACCGAUCUAUCUCUCGACUGCGCCAAUUGCAGUCGGCCGACAUAUUUCUGAAAUUCAAUAACAAACGUCGAUGAUUACUUUAUUGAAAUGACAUUAUCGGAAAUGACUGCUUUUACAGAAACAGAAUGCCCAAAUUCAGGUUCAAAAUGAAGCCUUGUUAGACGAUCAAGUGAAUCGCACAAGUCAAAAAUUCACCCCAUUUUGAAGUGUUGCGAAAGUACGGAGUUCUCAGUAUUUUUAGCAACAUUGAAUUUAUAUUUAUUUCUAUUAAUCCUCGGACUGCGGUUACCGGGGCAAUUAAAAUAAUAUUAUAAUAUUAUAUAAUAUAUUGUAUUAUAAUAUAAUACAAUAAAUGCAAUACAAUAAUAUAAUACAAUAAUACAAUACAAGUAUAAUCUGCAAAGAUUAUAAAAUGUUAUGUUAACUCAUUAUCUAUCUGCGAUCAUUUUAUAAUUUCCGAAAGUUUCGUGAUGAAGAUCUAAUAAUAAUAAUAAAAUGAUCUAAUAAUUUCGUUUAGGAUUAAAAUGUGGCAGGAGAUUGUUUAUACAUUUCUCCUAACAAUAAUUGAAAAAAAUAACAAUAAUUGAAAAUUCUAUUAACAGACUUUCGGUAGAUAAAACGUUGACUAUAGCGUUAACUAUUUAAAAUAAACAUUAGUAAAUAAAUAUAAUCUGCAUUGCAUCAAACAGUUUUAAAUAAAAAUGUGCACGCGUCGAACGUUUUAUUUCCAUCA